rnacentral:rRNA from 1 species
UACAGAGGGUGCAAGCGUUAAUCGGAAUUACUGGGCGUAAAGCGUGCGUAGACGGUUGCGUAAGUCAGAUGUGAAAGCCCCGGGCUCAACCUGGGAAUUGCAUUUGAGACUGCGUAGCUAGGGUGCGGAAGAGGGAAGCGGAAUUUCCGGUGUAGCGGUGAAAUGCGUAGAUAUCGGAAGGAACACCAGUGGCGAAAGCGGCUUCCUGGACCAGUACCGACGUUCAGGCACGAAAGCGUGGGGAGCAAACAGG